CACAACCAGCAAGCUCCUCAGACGAAACCGAGAAUUCCGAGCAUCCUUCGGCGCGGGUCCCAGCUGAGCCAGAAAAGAGCAUCGGACAAUGCAGGUGUGGACCCAAAAGGUGUGCCGGUGCAUUUCGGGACCCCACAGGGAGCACCCAUGCCCACAGGUUAUCCGCAACAGGGAGCAAAACACGAGAUCCCUUUGCAUCUGUGCUACCCACUGUUGCUGCAGAAGCCCCAAGCCUCUUGUCCUUUGGCACAGAGAACUCAGACCAGGUCCCACCUGACCCGGAAAAGAGCAUUGGACUCCCACGAAGAUACUCACCUGUCUCCAGCGUGCUUCCUCGUUCCCUCUUGUUCUCCUCGUCUCCAGUGAGUUACUCUGUGUCUGAUCUGCUUCAAGUCUGCCGGCUUCCUGUCAUUCCUGCAAACACAAGACAAGUAUCAGCUCUACGAUCACA